rnacentral:rRNA from 1 species
GACGUAGGGGGCCAGCGUUGUUCGGAAUUACUGGGUUUAAAGGGUUCGUAGGCGGUGUGGCAAGUCGGGAGUGAAAUCUCUGGGCUCAACUCAGAGACUGCUUCCGAAACUGCUGUGCUGGAGUGUGGGAGAGGCGCGUGGAAUUGCAGGUGUAGCGGUGAAAUGCGUAGAUAUCUGCAGGAACACCCGUGGCGAAAGCGGCGCGCUGGACCACUACUGACGCUGAGGAACGAAAGCUAGGGGAGCAAACAGG